AGCGAACGCUGGCGGCAUGCCUAACACAUGCAAGUCGCACGGGGGGGCUUCGGCCUCCCAGUGGCGGACGGGUGAGGAACGCGUAGGGACCUGUCGAGGGGUGGGGGAUAACCGCGGGAAACUGCGGCUAAUACCGCAUGACGCCGCGGCGUGACAGCCGGGGCCAAAGGCGAAAGCCGCCCGCCGAGGGGCCUGCGUCCGAUUAGCUGGUUGGCGGGGUAGCGGCCCACCAAGGCGUCGAUCGGUAGCCGGUCUGUGAGGGUGAUCAGCCACACCGGGACUGAGACACGGCCCGGACUCCUACGGGAGGCAGCAGUGGGGAAUAUUGGACAAUGGGCGCAAGCCUGAUCCAGCAAUGCCGCGUGGGUGAAGAAGGUCUUCGGAUUGUAAAGCCCUUUCGGCGGGGACGAUGGUGACGGUACCCGCAGAAGAAGCCCCGGCUAACUUCGUG
rnacentral:rRNA from 1 species